CGCCAAGUGGUAAGGCACCGGGUUUUGAUCUCGGCAUCCGUUGGUUCGAAUCCAGCC
rnacentral:tRNA from 1 species